rnacentral:rRNA from 1 species
UGAGGAAUAUUGGUCAAUGGGCGAGAGCCUGAACCAGCCAAGUAGCGUGCAGGAAGACGGCCCUAUGGGUUGUAAACUGCUUUUAUGCGGGGAUAAAGUGAGGGACGUGUCCUUCGUUGCAGGUACCGCAUGAAUAAGGACCGGCUAAUUCCGUGCCAGCAGCCGCGGUAAUACGGAAGGUCCGGGCGUUAUCCGGAUUUAUUGGGUUUAAAGGGAGCGUAGGCCGUGGAUUAAGCGUGUUGUGAAAUGCAGGUGCUCAACGUCUGCACUGCAGCGCGAACUGGUCCACUAGAGUGUGCACAACGCAGGCGGAAUUCGUCGUGUAGCGGUGAAAUGCUUAGAUAUGACGAAGAACUCCGAUUGCGAAGGCAGCUUGCGGGAGCACAACUGACGCUGAAGCUCGAAAGUGCGGGUAUCGAACAGGAUUAGAUACCCUGGUAGUCCGCACGGUAAACGAUGGAUGCCCGUUGUCAGGCUGUUUCAGCCUGGUGACCAAGCGAAAGCAUUAAGCAUCCCACCUGGGGAGUACGCCGGCAACGGUG